rnacentral:rRNA from 1 species
UACGUAGGGCGCAAGCGUUAUCCGGAAUUAUUGGGCGUAAAGAGCUCGUAGGCGGUUUGUCGCGUCUGCCGUGAAAGGCCGGGGCUCAACUCCGGAUCUGCGGUGGGUACGGGCAGACUAGAGUGCGGUAGGGGAGAUUGGAAUUCCUGGUGUAGCGGUGGAAUGCGCAGAUAUCAGGAGGAACACCGAUGGCGAAGGCAGAUCUCUGGGCCGGAACCGACGCUUAGGAACCAAAGCGUGGGGAGCGAACAGG